rnacentral:rRNA from 1 species
CAGGACGAACGCUGGCGGCGUGCCUAACACAUGCAAGUCGAGCGGGGACAUGCGACGGAUAGGAAGAUUCGGUUGGACUUGAAGAUGCAUUGUCUAGCGGCGGACGGGUGAGUAACGCGUGAGCAACCUGUCCCUUACAGGGGGAUAACACAGCGAAAGUUGUACUAAUACCGCAUGAGACCACGGGAGGACAUCCUCCAGGGGUCAAAGGAGCAAUCCGGUAAGGGGUGGGCUCGCGUCCGAUUAGAUAGUUGGUGAGGUAACGGCCCACCAAGUCGACGAUCGGUAGCCGACCUGAGAGGGUGAUCGGCCACAUUGGGACUGAGACACGGCCCAAACUCCUACGGGAGGCAGCAGUGGGGAAUAUUGGGCAAUUAGGGGGGAAACCCUGACCCAGCAACGCCGCGUGAGGGAAGAAGGUUUUCGGAUCGUAAACCUCUGUCCUUGGUGAAGAGGAAGAGACGGUAGCCAAGGAGGAAGCCCCGGCUAACUACGUGCCAGCCGCCGC